AUUGAACGCUGGCGGCAUGCCUAACACAUGCAAGUCGAGCGGCUGCAGGGAGCUUGCUCCUGGAUCCAGCGGCGGACGGGUGAGUAAUGCCUAGGAAUCUGCCCGGUAGUGGGGGAUAACGUCCGGAAACGGGGGCUAAUACCGCAUACGUCCUGAGGGAGAAAGUGGGGGAUCUUCGGACCUCACGCUAUCAGAUGAGCCUAGGUCGGAUUAGCUAGUUGGUGGGGUAAAGGCCUACCAAGGCGACGAUCCGUAACUGGUCUGAGAGGAUGAUCAGUCACACUGGAACUGAGACACGGCCCAGACUCCUACGGGAGGCAGCAGUGGGGAAUAUUGGACAAUGGGCGAAAGCCUGAUCCAGCAAUGCCGCGUGUGUGAUGAAGGUCUUCGGAUUGUAAAGCACUUUUAGUGGGGAGGAAAAGCAGUAUGUUAAUACCUUGCUGUGAUGACGGUACCAGCAGAAUAAGCACCGGCUAACUACGUG
rnacentral:rRNA from 1 species